AUACUUAACCUGGCAGAGCAGAUGCCAUAAUCACAAAGGUGGAUUUCCCAAGGUGAGACUUAACCAUUGCAUUCUGGAAAUGCUGACCACUGUGAUUUCCCCAAAUGUGGAAAACUUGACUGCAUAAUUUGUGAAUUUGUGGUAGUGGGAGACUGCAGUUGUGUUCCAUC
rfam:Otolemur garnettii contig032549, whole genome shotgun sequence.